rnacentral:rRNA from 1 species
UACGAAGGGGGCUAGCGUUGCUCGGAAUCAUUGGGCGUAAAGAGCGUGUAGGCGGCUUGUUAAGUCUUGCGUGAAAUCUCGGGGCUCAACCCCGAGCGGUCGUGAGAAACUGGCAGGCUAGAGUGCGGGAGAGGAGAGUGGAAUUCCUGGUGUAGCGGUGAAAUGCGCAGAUAUCAGGAAGAACACCCGUGGCGAAGGCGGCUCUCUGGACGGUUUCUGACGCUAAGACGCGAAAGCGUGGGGAGCGAACAGG